CUUCAGCGAACCCAGCCACAGCGGCCGGUCGACCGGCCGGUCCUGCCCGUAGGCGGCGAGGAGCGCCUGGGCCUC
rfam:Frankia sp. Cc1.17 contig_58, whole genome shotgun sequence.